rnacentral:misc_RNA from 1 species
AACGCACGAGACCUGCGGACCUGCGGAGGGAUCAUUAACAAAUCCGUUUGGGGGAGGGAAGAGGAGUGUGUGCGCAUUGUACGCAUGCUUGCUCACCCACCCACCACAUGAACCGGGUCUCCGAGAGGAGAUUCGCCUGUGGACAGCCAGCGUCAGCCGGUUGUCUGCAGAAAUAGGCUAUGCUUGUAUGUCUUAACUACUAUAAUAUCUAAUUGUAAACAACUUUUAACAAUGGAUCUC